UACGGGGGGGAGCAAGCGUUGUUCGGAUUUACUGGGCGUAAAGGGCGCGUAGGCGGUCGUGACAAGUCACUUGUGAAAUCUCCGGGCUUAACUCGGAACGGUCAAGUGAUACUGUCGGACUAGAGUACAGAAGGGGCAACUGGAAUUCUCGGUGUAGCGGUGAAAUGCGUAGAUAUCGAGAGGAACACCUGCGGCGAAGGCGGGUUGCUGGGCCAGUUCUGACGCUGAGGAGCGAAAGCCAGGGGAGCAAACGGGG
rnacentral:rRNA from 1 species